GCUAUAGUGGGUCAGAUGAGCAUUGGACUCAAAAUACAAAGGCCUAGGUUCAAAUCCCUGCUGAACCA